GGUAAAUUAAAUAUAAAGCCUAAGGUCUAUGAUUUUAGUGCAGACAAGGUUGACAUCGAAACUAAAACCGAAAGUGAAGAAGGCAUGGUUCCAACUUCCUAUAUUAACAUUAGAUUUGUGUUCUUUCCAAUUUCUGACCUGAAACUGUUGAGGAUGCUAGCUAAUGAAGGUCCUGCAGUGUUGUGUUCCUUGCAAUCUCUAAACCUGAAACUGUUGAGGAAGCUAGCAAAUGAAGGCGUUACAGUGUUGGGGUUGCCUUGACUAGUCUUUUUUUUUUUUUUUUUUUGGAUUUGUGAUUUUUGGUUGGUGUAAGAAUGAUAGAUAUUGUAUUUUGAUAUUUGUCAAUUUAUAAUAUUUGUGGAA